AGCGAACGCUGGCGGCAGGCCUAACACAUGCAAGUCGAACGAACCCUUCGGGGUUAGUGGCGGACGGGUGAGUAACACGUGGGAACGUGCCUUUAGGUUCGGAAUAACUCAGGGAAACUUGUGCUAAUACCGAAUGUGCCCUUCGGGGGAAAGAUUUAUCGCCUUUAGAGCGGCCCGCGUCUGAUUAGCCAGUUGGUGAGGUAAAGGCUCACCAAGGCUGCGAUCAGUAGCUGGUCUGAGAGGAUGACCAGCCACAUUGGGACUGAGACACGGCCCAAACUCCUACGGGAGGCAGCAGUGGGGAAUCUUGCGCAAUGGGCGAAAGCCUGACGCAGCCAUGCCGCGUGGAUGAUGAAGGUCUUAGGAUUGUAAAAUCCUUUCACCGGUGAAGAUAAUGACUGUAGCCGGAGAAGAAGCCCCGGCUAACUUCGUGCCAGCCGCCGCGGUAACAC
rnacentral:rRNA from 1 species